rnacentral:lncRNA from 1 species
ACUUUGACAAGUACCCUGAAUUCUGGUGGUAUCUGUUUUUUUAUGUCCUCGUUCUUUCUUUUCUUUCUUUCUUUUUUUUUCUUUUUUCUUUUUUUUUUGGUCAAUUUCCAAGGAAGACCUAAGGAGUAAAGCAAACUGCUCAGAACUUAACAGAUUCUGGUUGGGCUGAGGUCAGCCUUUUACCAAGGGGCACUUGCUUGACACCCAGCUGAGACUGCUUGCCCACUCAGUAAUGGGCUUUUUCCUUUCUCAGCCAGGGUCUCAGCCUGCUUCUGUCUGAAAGACACCCCCAUGCCCCAUCAUUCUGCUCUUCCCAGUCCUGCUUUUGCCUCAGGCAUCCUCCCUGUAUAGGCACUGGGCAAACUCUACUUGACUCAAUUUGUUCACCUGGCUGAGCCUCACUUUUCUCAUCUGCUCAACAGAAGCAAUACCUGUGUGUGUCUCCCUUAAAUUUGCCAGGGCUAUGGAUUUGGUGAGGACUCACUUUAAAGGGCCUUGCCUGCAACCUGGUGUAUAGCAAGUGCCCCAACAAAUUGUGUUGGCCACCAUUUGGCACCUUUUAAAAGACACUUUGCAAUUCUAGACCUUUUUAGUGUCAGGAGACCUUCUUCUCUUCAGCAAGUCAGUUGUCAUCAAAAGGAACAGCCUUGUACAUUUUACUCUUUUCUCCAUUACCCCUUCCCUGUGUUUGUUGCUUUGUUCAACUCAGUCAUCCUCUGGCCCCAGUGUUGGGUAGUACAAAUUGACAGUCCCUGAGGUUGGCUAGUUUGUCUCAGUUAUUAUUAAGGAAAUUUGCAGUGCAGUCUUCUAGUUGUCUCUGGCCUCGGUGCAGCCAGAAGAGAGGAGGAUCCUAUGGGAGGAUCAAGGAGCUGCGGAUGGUUCUUGAUGGAGGAGGGACUGCAAAUGUUUCAAGGUGAUAAUAGAACUUUCACACUCUGUACAGGUACUCAGUCACCUGGCUUUGAGGGAAUUUCAGCAACACACAGACAGAACUCUGGGUUGAAGGCUGAUAAAUGGGGUCUGCCUGGGAAGGAGGGCACUAAGGGUAGCCAGGGCUGUGGGUGGAGAGCACAUUUCUCGGUUGAACAGGUCUGGGUGCUGGUUAGCAACUCAGGGUCCUGCUGGACUUCACUUCCAGAGGGGAGAAGUCGGCUCUUGAGGGUUCUCACAGAGGCAUAUCUCUGCCACAGGUGAACGGAAAGGAGCUCUCCAAGCUGUCUCAGGAGCAAACCCUAGAGGCCCUGCGUGCCUCCAAGGAGCCCCUGGUGAUCCAGGUGCUGAGACGCAGCCCCCGUCUGCGGGGGGACAGCUCCUGCCAUGACCUUCAGCUGGUGGACAGUGGCACUCAGACCGACAUCACCUUCGAGCAUAUCAUGGCGCUGGGCAAGCUGCGCCCGCCCACCCCACCCAUGGGCAUCUUGGAGCCGUACGUCCUCUCUGAGCUGUGAGUUGCCCUCAGGAGGGCCUGGGCCCUGCCUCCAGAGAGGACAUGCCACCUGGGCAGCUGUCCCCAUGUGACCCACAGGCGGCUUUCAGCUCUAGCCAUGGUGGGGAGACACAACUCAGCUGCCACUCUUGGGCAUUAAGCAGGCUUGAUCACUAGAGCUGACCAUGGCACUCAGGCUCAGAACCUCCAGGCCUCUGGCCUCAGGCUUGGCACCAGCUGGCAGAAAGGCUGAAGUGACACCUAUGUUCCUGGGACCUGGCUGCUCCUUCAUCCUCUUUCCUCUUCUGCUGCCAUCGUCUCUGCCUCCUCACAAGCAUCUCUCUUUGAAUCUUCUUGCAUCCCUUGUCUGUCCCAUUCUUCUACUUGCUCUGAAUUUCCUCCAUCCCUUCGGCUUGUUUCUUUGGCCUUCUAAGAAGAAGGGCCUUUCAUCCUGGCCUGGUGGCUGUGACCAUGUGAGCAGCACUGACUCAUUCUGUUAAUCCUACGGGGCUAUAGGGAGGUGGCCCUGGGAACCCUUUUGUUCAGAGAGGUAGGCCAUAGAGCAGUGAGCUGUCAGUUUUAAUGUUAAGGCAAGGAGGACAACCCCUUCCUGGAGGCAGAAGAAUAAUGCUGCUUUGUAGAAGACCUGGGUAACUCCUGAAGGUUCUGCAUGAGUGGGUACAGUGCCAGAGGCAGCCUGGGAACUUAGAGCUUUGGAGAAAUCAGCUCUUGGUCUGGGAGUUGGGAUGGGGAGAGCUAGGUGUACCUGCCUAGGUCCUUAGGAUGGACCCCUGUGAGCUCGUUUGAGGAGCAUUUCCAAUCCUUCCACAGCCAUUUGUGUCGAUCAAAGAGGAGGGUUCUAAAAGCAGCUUGGCCACCUUUUCUAGAAAGUACAUCUAGAACAGGGUUCUUUGUUUACUGUACUGGGACUAGCCAGCUUGGAGCUGGGGCUAGGGUGCCAAGGAAGCAGAUGGCCCAUCUGACCCCCCCUUCUCCUGGGCAGCCCCCCCAUCAGCCAUGAGUAUUAUGACCCAGCGGAGUUCAUGGAGGGCGGCCCGCAGGAGGCAGAGCGAAUGGACGAGCUGGAGUACGAGGUGAGCCUAGUGGCUGGCCUGCCUGGCCGGAACCUGCAGCCACCAAGAGUCUGCAGGCCCACUUUCUGCAGCUCUGCCCAGGCUUGGCUCCUGCCGCCCCCUGGUGGCUGGGCCUCAUGACCUUUCCCAGUAGAGAGCAGCCUGAGUCAGGGAGGGUGUGGGUGAGGUAGUGUGUUCCUUAUGUCUCUGUUGGUGACUCUGUGUCCCAUGCAUGUCUGUGUCCUGUGUGUUCUGUACAUCUUGUGUCUUGGGCGUUUCCUGGUAGGGAAACCACUGAACACUCGCACAUUUAGGAUGGUAAGAGAAGGGAACCCUCAAAGGGAAGGGCUACACACUCAGUUCAGAUAACUGAAGCAGAAGGCAAGGGGGUGCUAGGGGCAAGGGCCUGGGCCAAGGCUGCAGGCGUCCUUGCUUAUACACUUCAGUUCUUUAUACCUCUACUUCCUCCCCUACCUCUUGUGGCAGGAGGUGGAGCUGUGUAAAAACAGCCACCAAGACAAGCUGGGCCUGAUGGUGUGCUAUCGCACAGAUGAGGAGGAGGACCUAGGCAUCUACGUUGGAGAGGUAUGGAGAGGUGCUGCAGCAGGCUUUGGCACACCGAGCCCCAGAGCUGUUCUAGUCCAGCUCUGUGGUCUUUCCACAAAGUCUUUCCAGGCUUUAGGGCUGCCCAGAGGUCCUAACUACCCACUAGGUGUCACAGUAGGUUGUUGGUGUCAAGGCCAGGGUGGCUAUGGUUUCAGUAUAUCCAAGGAGACAGCCCUGCUGACCUGUACGCAGGCAUCAAGGAUUUAAUGGGGCCCACCUUCUCUCCCCAUUUUCUUCCCUUUGGCAGAUGUCUAUGUAUGCUAGCACUAUCCUACUAAAGCUACUCUUCCAAAUGGAAAAGGUCCCACUGCCCAGAACACACAACUUUAUGUAUUUUCAUUAUGAAGAAGCAUCUAGCCACAUGCCAGUGCCUAGUUCCUGUCCCCUCACCGCCCCCCAAAAGAAAGAAAGACCUCUGAGCUGGGUGUGGUGGCUCAGGCCAGAUUGUAGCAUUAGUAGUUCAAGGUCACCCUGAACUUCUGGAGACCCUAUUUAAAAAACAAAUAAGUUGGGUGUGGGUAACUCAGAGGCACUUAGAAGGCAAAGACAGAUUUCUAGGAGCUUGCGGUUCAUUAGAGCUACAUAGUGAAACUGUUUUAAAGGGGAGUAUGCAUGUGGGAAGUGUUUUAGGAGGAUGAUUCUUACUGCUUCUUCAAAGGACCCAAGUUCAGUUCCCAGAAAUCACAUAGAUGUCUCACAACCACCUCUAACUCCAGUUCCAGAGGAUCUAAUACCUUCUUCUGGAUUUAACCAAUACCUCCAUGCAGCUGUGCACAUACAUGCAAAAAAAAGAAAAAGAAAAAGAAAAAAUAGGAAGGAAGGAAGGAAGGAAGAAAAGAAAGAAAGAAGGAAAGAAAGGAAGCAAACAAAAAGAAAAUAAAGCUUCAAUGAAGUUGGGGGUAUAGCUCAAUAGUAAAAUACUUUUUUAACAUAUACAAGGCUGUAGGUUCCUUAACAC